rnacentral:rRNA from 1 species
CGGAGCAUGCGGCUUAAUUCGACGCAACGCGAAGAACCUUACCAAGGCUUGACAUAUACAGGAAUAUGGCAGAGAUGUCAUAGCCGCAAGGUCUGUAUACAGGUGGUGCAUGGUUGUCGUCAGCUCGUGUCGUGAGAUGUUGGGUUAAGUCCCGCAACGAGCGCAACCCUCGUUCUGUGUUGCCAGCAUUUAGUUGGGGACUCACAGGAGACUGCCGGGGUUAACUCGGAGGAAGGUGGGGAUGACGUCAAAUCAUCAUGCCCCUUAUGUCUUGGGCUGCACGCAUGCUACAAUGGCUGGUACAAACGGCUGCGAUACCGCAAGGUGGAGCGAAUCCGAUAAAGCCAGUCUCAGUUCGGAUUGGGGUCUGCAACUCGACCCCAUGAAGUCGGAGUUGCUAGUAAUCGUAGAUCAGCAACGCUACGGUGAAUACGUUCCCGGGGCUUGUACACACCGCCCGUCACAUCACGAAAGUCGGAACACCCAAAGUCAGU